GGCCCCUUCGUCUAGCAUGGCCAAGGACGUUGCCCUCUCACGGCAGAAACAUGGGUUCAAAUCCCAUAGGGGCUA
rnacentral:tRNA from 3 species